GGGUCAGUAGCUCAGUUGGUAGAGCGGCGGCCUUUUAAGCCGACGGUCCCGAGUUCGAUUCUCGGCUGACCCA
rnacentral:tRNA from 1 species